rnacentral:rRNA from 1 species
CAGCAGCCCGAGUGGUGGUCGUUUUUAUUGGGCCUAAAGCGUCCGUAGCCGGUCUAGUAAAUCCUUGGAUAAAUCGUACAGCUUAACUGUACGGCUCCCGGGGAGACUGCUAGACUUGGGACUGGGAGAGGUCGGAGGUACUCCAGGGGUAGGGGUGAAAUCUUGUAAUCCUUGGGGGACCACCAGUGGCGAAGGCGUCCGACCAGAACGGGUCCGACGGUAAGGAACGAAGCCCUGGGUCGCGAACCGGAUUAGAUACCCGCGUAGUCC